AUUGAACGCUGGCGGCAGGCCUAACACAUGCGAGUCGAGCGGAUGAAGGGAGCUUGCUCCUGGAUUCAGCGGCGGACGGGUGAGUAAUGCCUAGGAAUCUGCCUGGUAGUGGGGGAUAACGUCCGGAAACGGGCGCUAAUACCGCAUACGUCCUGAGGGAGAAAGUGGGGGAUCUUCGGACCUCACGCUAUCAGAUGAGCCUAGGUCGGAUUAGCUAGUUGGUGGGGUAAAGGCCUACCAAGGCGACGAUCCGUAACUGGUCUGAGAGGAUGAUCAGUCACACUGGAACUGAGACACGGUCCAGACUCCUACGGGAGGCAGCAGUGGGGAAUAUUGGACAAUGGGCGGAAGCCUGAUCCAGCCAUGCCGCGUGUGUGAAGAAGGUCUUCGGAUUGUAAAGCACUUUAAGUUGGGAGGAAGGGCAGUAAGUUAAUACCUUGCUGUUUUGACGUUACCAACAGAAUAAGCACCGGCUAACUUCGUG
rnacentral:rRNA from 1 species